rnacentral:rRNA from 1 species
AGUGAACGCUGGCGGUAGGCCUAACACAUGCAAGUCGAACGGAAGCACAGUAAGAUUUUGCUCUUACGGGUGGCGAGUGGCGGACGGGUGACGAAUACAUCGGAAUCUACUUUUUCGUGGGGGAUAACGUAGGGAAACUUACGCUAAUACCGCAUAUGACCUACGGGUGAAAGCAGGGGAUCUUCGCACCUUGCGCGAUUGAAUGAGCCGAUGUCGGAUUAGCUAGUUGGCAGGGUAAAGGCCCACCAAGGCGACGAUCCGUAGCUGGUCUGAGAGGAUGAUCAGCCACACUGGAACUGAGACACGGUCCAGACUCCUACGGGAGGCAGCAGUGGGGAAUCUUGGGCAAUGGGCGCAAGCCUGAUCCAGCCAUACCGCGUGGGUGAAGAAGGCCUUCGGGUUGUAAAGCCCUUUUGUUGGGAAAGAAAAGCAGCAGGUUAAUACCCCGCUGUUCUGACGGUACCCAAAGAAUAAGCACCGGCUAACUACGUG